AAUGCAUUCUCAAGUUUAAAGUUUUAAAAGUUUCUGUUGCUUAAUGCUGUUUGUUUCCAACUCCGAGCAUCUUCUACUUCCCUACAACUUCUUGCGGAGAGAUAAACAGAGAGAAGCAUAUCAUCAUUGUAACAGGAUGGAGACACAGAGGAAAAAGGGGAUUUGACUGUGUAGAGUGGGCAGUGAAACGACAGAAGCUUGAUUCGUUUGUCUAGUGUCUAUAUAUAUAGUCUGUACUUUGUACGUUGUUCAUCUUCCGCUUAAUUGGUGCGAGAGACUAAAUCUCUAUGUAUAGUAGUAGACUAAAAAAUCUCUAUGGUAUACAUGUAUAGAUGAAUGUGUAGGGUGCAUGUGUGUGUGUUAUUAUUAGAUGUAUGUGUAGGGUGCAUGUGUGUGUGAGUAUUAUUAGAUGUAUGUAUAGGGUGCAUACAUCUGUGUGUGUAUGUGUAUUAGAUGUAUGUCUAGGGUGUGUGUGUAUUAGAUGUAUGUGUAGGGUGCAAACGUAGCGACAAAUACUGAACCUCCACUCCCCCCU